GCAGAAUCGGAGUUAUGCGAAGGAUGAGAUCACCAUUAAUGUCCGCGAACAAAAAAUAGCGCAACAGCCAUUAAGAUUGCAGUGGGAGCUCCAUGCCAAGAUUCUGCUGUUAGUAUAGGUACGUAGUUUGCCAACAACGUAACAAACAUGUCUAUAGCCUCAUCUCGGCAAAGCUGCCUCACCAACACUCUCAGUACUCUACCUUCUAACAAACCCAAGACACAGAUUUUAUACUCCGUUAAAACUAGCUCAUGCAGACCACCUCAUGACCACCAAGAUUCUCGACGGUAAUGUCUCCAAACUCAAUCACAGAUUUUUUGGUAGUUUCUUCAACUGGGUAUCUUCUGAUUUUCUUUUCAUCUUCUUUGAUCUGUUUUUUCGCAAGUAUUUAUAAAAAAAGGAUUGUGCGUUGGGUAUUCGGUCUUUUCCCAGGAAUGGCAACAACCAGUAAGGCUGGCCGUAGUGACUCUGGCGGCUGGGGUGUUAACACUGGGCUCAGUUCACGAUGCAUCUGCUGCCAAGACUGGUGGAAGAGUCGGCGGCCAGGCUUUCCGGCCAUCGGCUCCCCGGUCAGUCCCCAGAAUCAACAACACUUCUAGCAACAUUUAUAUCAACCCUCCAGUUGCUCUGCCUUUAGUUGGUGGGUACAGUUAUGGUUAUGGUGCAUCUUUCUUUGGAGGCUGGGGUUGGUCACCAUUUUCAUUCUUUGCACCUGGUCCAAGUGCUGCCAUUGGCAUUGGAGGUGGAUUUGAAGUCAUAGCUCUGUUUCUGUUUAUUGGAGCUGUAAGUGCUGUUGUCAGGAGAUUUAUUCGAUCAAGAGAUGAAGAUGAUGAGUACUAGUGGCAGAGAAAAACCUUUUUUUGAUGCUUGAAUGGAAUGAUAUGUAUAGACGUUUCUCUUAAAGUGGCUACAAUACACUGUUAACCAGCCAUCAUGUUGUAUUCUAGACCAUUAUUCUGCAAUGUAAUUGUGCCAGGGAAAAUGGAUUCUCUUAAUGCUC